UGCGUAGGUGGUGGUUUAAGUCUGUUGUGAAAGCCCUGGGCUCAACCUGGGAAUUGCAGUGGAUACUGGAUCACUAGAGUGUGGUAGAGGGAUGCGGAAUUUCCGGUGUAGCAGUGAAAUGCGUAGAGAUCGGAAGGAACAUCUGUGGCGAAGGCGGCAUCCUGGGCCAACACUGACACUGAGGCACGAAAGCGUGGGGAGCAAACA
rnacentral:rRNA from 1 species